rnacentral:rRNA from 1 species
UACGUAGGGGGCAAGCGUUAUCCGGAAUUACUGGGUGUAAAGGGAGAGUAGGCGGUAUGGUAAGUUAGAUGUGAAAGCCUGAGGCUUAACCACAGGAUUGCAUUUAAAACUAUCAAACUAGAGUACAGGAGAGGGAAGCGGAAUUCCUAGUGUAGCGGUGAAAUGCGUAGAUAUUAGGAAGAACACCAGUGGCGAAGGCGGCUUUCUGGACUGAAACUGACGCUGAGGCUCGAAAGCGUGGGGAGCGAACAGGAUUAGAUACCCUGGUAGUCCACGCCGUAAACGAUGAGUGCUAGGUGUCGGGGGGGAACCCUCGGUGCCGCAGCAAACGCAAUAAGCACUCCACCUGGGGAGUACGAUCGCAAGAUUGAA